rnacentral:snoRNA from 1 species
AUUUUAUAGCAAGGCAUACGGGGUAGCCGUUUUGGUUGCCUUCUUGCAAUGAUAACAGUUUUGUCAUAGUUACACUGAUGAAGC